rnacentral:rRNA from 1 species
AGUGAACGCUGGCGGUAGGCCUAACACAUGCAAGUCGAACGGCAGCACAGUAAGAGCUUGCUCUUACGGGUGGCGAGUGGCGGACGGGUGAGGAAUACAUCGGAAUCUACUUUUUCGUGGGGGAUAACGUAGGGAAACUUACGCUAAUACCGCAUACGACCUACGGGUGAAAGCAGGGGAUCUUCGGACCUUUCGCGAUUGAAUGAGCCGAUGUCGGAUUAGCUAGUUGGCGGGGUAAAGGCACACCAAGGCGACGAUGCGUAGCUGGUCUGAGAGGAUGAUCAGCCACACUGGAACUGAGACACGGUCCAGACUCCUACGGGAGGCAGCAGUGGGGAAUAUUGCACAAUGGGCGAAAGCCUGAUCCAGCAAUACCGCGUGGGUGAAGAAGGCCUUCGGGUUGUAAAGCCCUUUUGUUGGGAAAGAAAAGCAGCAGAUUAAUCCCCCGCUGUUCUGACGGUACCCAAAGAAUAAGCCCCGGCUAACUUCGUG